UUGAAAGGUGCUUCGCGUUGAAGAGAAUAGGGAAUUUGGUUAAAAUCCAAAACUGUAUCCGCAACUGUAAGCUUAGUUUUUAAAUACUUUUAUUGAAUUCUUUUGCCACUGUCUAUUUCGAGAUGGGAAGGUCAAUAAAAGAUGCAAGUCAGGAGACCUGCCUUUCAUA
rnacentral:ncRNA from 1 species